rnacentral:rRNA from 1 species
UACAGAGGCCCCAAGCGUUACUGAGAAUCACUGGGCUUAAAGCGUGUGUAGGCGGAUCGUUAAGUGUCUUGUGAAAUCCCACGGCUCACCCGUGGAACUGCUGGGCAUACUGGCGAUCUUGGGCCAACUAGGGGCAACUGGAACAAGCGGUGGAGCGGUGAAAUGCGUAGAUAUCGCUUGGAACGCCAACGGUGAAAACAGGUUGCUGGGGUUGUGCCGACGCUGAGACACGAAAGCCAGGGGAGCAAACGGG